GACGAACGCUGGCGGCGUGCUUAACACAUGCAAGUCGAACGAAAAUACCAAGCUUGCUUGGUUGAUUAGUGGCGAACGGGUGAGUAACACGUGAGUAACCUGCCCCUUACUUUCCUGGAUAACUGCUCGAAAGGGUAGCUAAUACGGGAUAUUCUGACCAGCCUGCAUGGGUUGGUUUGGAAAGGUUGUUUUUCUGGUAAGGGAUGGGCUCGCGGCCUAUCAGCUUGUUGGUGGGGUGAUGGCCUACCAAGGCUUUGACGGGUAGCCGGCCUGAGAGGGUGGGCGGUUAACACUGGACCGGAGUACGGGCCAGACUCCUACGGGAGGCAGCAGUGGGGAAUAUUGCACAAUGGGCGCAAGCCUGAUGCAGCGACGCCGCGUGAGGGAUGAAGGCCUUCGGGUUGUAAACCUCUUUCGUCAGGGAACAAGGCACUGCUUUUUUGGUGGUGUUGAGGGUACCUGGAUAAGAAGCGCCGGCUAACUACGUG
rnacentral:rRNA from 1 species